CGUGCAAGUCGGCUUGUCGCCGUUCCGAUUCUAUCGGAAAGGAGGAAAGUCCGGGCAACACAGAGCGCCAUACUUCCUAACGGGAAGGGUAUUCAUCAGAAAAGGUGGAUAUACAGAAAGUGCCACAGAAAAUAUACCGCCCCGAUAGCUAUAGGGGUAAGGGUGAAAAGGUAGAGUAAGAGCCUACCGGUUGGAUGGUGACAUUCAGCGCAUGGCAAACCUUAUGGGUUGAAAGAUCAAAUAGGCCUCGGGCAAAGAGCUGCUCGUUCGAUUCCUUUCGGGGAUUCCGGGGUGGGUAGAUCGAUAGAUCCUGACUGCGAAGUCAGGACUAGAUAAAUGACAGGCUUCUUCUGAUUUUUCAGAAGAAACAGAACCCGGCUUACAGACUUGCA
rnacentral:RNase_P_RNA from 1 species